UGUGGUCUUAAAGAUAUGUUUAUUUCUUUAUAAUACAAUACAGUAUGUCAUUCACAGACAAAAAAAUUCACUUAAUAAUCACAAUCUUAUGAUUUACUAAUAGUAAAAUAGGGAAAGUAAAUAAUAAAAGUUGAUUUAUAGUCAUUUCUUUUAACACAGUUGUAGCGGAAACAAUAUGCGUCUCUGAAACCUGCACGGUACAAAACUUAUAACAUGUUAGCUAACGUGGGCAAUCGGGUAAUCUGGAUCGGAAAUAGAGCACAUUUACCACAGUUUUAAAGGUUAGCCAGUCUCAUAUAGGAUACAUGUAUAACCGCACGGGUUCAAACCUCUCAAGUGCUUCAUAUAUGAGGGUUCCCAUCAUGAGGAACAUUUUAUGGAUUUUGUUUCAAUUAAUUUUUAACUUUGAUUAAAUUUGAUCAGUUAAGCAGAUCAUAAACGUACUUUAUCACUAGAAAAUAACCUUUCAAACAUGAAAGUACUAUGCAAUCAAAACAUUUCUCCUUAUAUAGAACCUUUUUUAGCAUAAAUGAUUAUUUAAAAUUGAAUCAAGAACACGAGAGUUCUAAAUAGAACCCCUUUGAACCCUUUAUUCUAAGAGUGUGUGCAUGCAAAAAACCAUUCAGGCUUUUACAUACAUGCUAAUGAAACAUAUCUGAUACUAAAACAUACUUACAUCGUGAACUUUAUGUUGAAAAGCCAUUUGAAAUUAGCAGUAGGAAUCAUAUAACCCUAUAAUUAAGUUGCAUAAUUCCCACUGUCCACUGAGAAAACUCACUUCGCAGAAACUUAUCAGGGCAGGAAGGCAAUAGUUCUGCUCCAAAGAAAUGUCUCAUCCCAAACUAUCCGUGAACUCCAAGAGGCUCGUAAAGGGUGGGGUAUUUUCUUUAGCCACACACACACACACACACACACACACACACACACAAUGACAGUCUCCCUGUUCCUCCCCUCUUUUGUUUCUCCUGUUAAAUGUUCCAGCCACAGCAAACUCAUGUCCAUUUAUUCACUUAACAGCUUAACUCAGUCUAUGUAGUUGCUAUUCUUUAUUUGUCUUGCACUAUGUUAUAUCUCUCCGGACUACUUUUGCUGUUGCUGGAUCCAUCUCUGAUCUGUGGUCAAAUGACACAAGAUAACAGAACAGCUGUUGAAGAUGAGAGUCUCAGAGUCAAAACUGAAAAUGCACAGAAAGAACUGAAUGAAUCUUUGAACGAGCAUACCAACAACGGCACGUACAAGAACAAUGUCACAGAAAGCAACGAGAUUCUUCAGCAACAAGAUUUUCACCACCACUACAGUCACUGUUAUGAGGAGGAUUUGAUGUCUUAUGGCGAACUGUGCUGUGAUAUUUUCAGUAGCAAC